CAGUUUUCUACCUGCCUGAGUCACUCAGGCGUCCCUGCUCUCCCCUUUUAAAGGGAAUAGUUCUUCAGACAUCUCUCUCUCCUCCUCUUGACCCUCUAGCACCUGCCCAGCCCAGCACAAAGCCUACAAUUAGUGCUUAAUAAAAUCUUGCUGCGAUUCAGCACCCAGCCCUGAGACUGGCACAUGGUAUUUACAGAGGAUCCCUACCCCAUGAAGUCACCCAUGUACAAGAAGAAGAAUCAGCAACAGAGUGGGAGGACAGAGCAGAUCUG
rnacentral:lncRNA from 1 species